rnacentral:rRNA from 1 species
AUUCCAGCUCCAGUAGCGUAUAUUAAAGUUGUUGCAGUUAAAAAGCUCGUAGUUGGAUUUUUGACUUCAGAUACCUGACCCUCCCUCGCUAGAGGUGUGUGUGCCGGAGUAUUUGUAUCAUCCUUUCAGUGAUCGGCUCUACCCUUAACCGGGUCGGAGCUGCUAGCUGGAUCUUUUACUUUGAAGAAAUUGGAGUGUUUAAAGCAGGCUUACGCCAGAACAUAUUAGCAUGGAAUAAUAAUUUAGGACUUUUGUUCUAUUUUGUUGGUUUCUAGGACGAAAGUAAUGAUUGAUAGGGAUAGUUGGGGGUGCUAGUAUUCGGCGGCCAGAGGUGAAAUUCUUUGAUCCGCUGAAGACUAACUUAUGCGAAAGCAUUCACCAAGGAUGUCUUCAUUA